rnacentral:rRNA from 1 species
AUGCAGUCGAGCGCAGGAAGCCGUCCUGAACCCUUCGGGGGGACGGACGGUGGAAUGAGCGGCGGACGGGUGAGUAACACGUAAAGAACCUGCCCAUAGGUCUGGGAUAACCACGAGAAAUCGGGGCUAAUACCGGAUGUGUCAUCGGACCGCAUGGUCCGCUGAUGAAAGGCGCUUCGGCGUCGCCCAUGGAUGGCUUUGCGGUGCAUUAGCUAGUUGGUGGGGUAAUGGCCCACCAAGGCGACGAUGCAUAGCCGACCUGAGAGGGUGAUCGGCCACACUGGGACUGAGACACGGCCCAGACUCCUACGGGAGGCAGCAGUAGGGAAUCUUCCACAAUGGACGAAAGUCUGAUGGAGCAACGCCGCGUGAACGAUGAAGGCUUUCGGGUCGUAAAGUUCUGUUGUAAGGGAAGAACAAGUGCCGCAGGCAAUGGCGGCACCUUGACGGUACCUUGCGAGAAAGCCACGGCUAACUACGUGCCAGCAGCCGCGGUAAUACGUAGGUGGCAAGCGUUGUCCGGAAUUAUUGGGCGUAAAGCGCGCGCAGGCGGCCUCUUAAGUCUGAUGUGAAAGCCCCCGGCUCAACCGGGGAGGGCCAUUGGAAACUGGGAGGCUUGAGUAUAGGAGAGAAGAGUGGAAUUCCACGUGUAGCGGUGAAAUGCGUAGAG